CCUACGGGGGGCUGCAGUGGGGAAUAUUGGACAAUGGGCGAAAGCCUGAUCCAGCCAUGCCGCGUGUGUGAAGAAGGCCUUCGGGUUGUAAAGCACUUUCAGUGGGGAAGAAAGCCUUGGGGCUAAUACCCUCGAGGAAGGACAUCACCCACAGAAGAAGCACCGGCUAACUCCGUGCCAGCAGCCGCGGUAAUACGGAGGGUGCGGGCGUUAAUCGGAAUUACUGGGCGUAAAGCGCGCGUAGGCGGUCUGAUAAGCCGGUUGUGAAAGCCCCGGGCUCAACCUGGGAACGGCAUCCGGAACUGUCAGGCUAGAGGGCAGGAGAGGAAGGUAGAAUUCCCGGUGUAGCGGUGAAAUGCGUAGAGAUCGGGAGGAAUACCAGUGGCGAAGGCGGCCUUCUGGACUGACACUGACGCUGAGGUGCGAAAGCGUGGGUAGCAAACAGGAUUAGAUACCCUGGUAGUC
rnacentral:rRNA from 1 species